CGCGGGAUGGAGCAGUUCGGUAGCUCGUCGGGCUCAUAACCCGAAGGUCGGUGGGUCAAAUCCGCCUCCCGCAA
rnacentral:tRNA from 1 species